GUAAACGGUGGAUGCUGGAUGUGGGGCCCAUUCCACGGGUUCCGUGUCGGAGCUAACGCGUUAAGCAUCCCGCCUGGGGAGUACGGCCGCAAGGCUAAAACUCAAAGAAAUUGACGGGGGCCCGCACAAGCGGCGGAGCAUGCGGAUUAAUUCGAUGCAACGCGAAGAACCUUACCUGGGCUUGACAUGUUCCGGACAGCCUCGGAGACGGGGCCUCCCCUCGGGGCCGGUUCACAGGUGGUGCAUGGUCGUCGUCAGCUCGUGUCGUGAGAUGUUGGGUUAAGUCCCGCAACGAGCGCAACCCUCGCCCCGUGUUGCCAGCACGUGAUGGUGGGAACUCACGGGGGACCGCCGGGGUUAACUCGGAGGAAGGUGGGGAUGACGUCAGAUCAUCAUGCCCCUUACGUCCAGGGCUUCACGCAUGCUACAAUGGCCGGUACAACGGGAUGCGACAUGGCGACAUGGAGCGGAUCCCUGAAAACCGGUCUCAGUUCGGAUUGGAGUCUGCAACCCGACUCCAUGAAGGCGGAGUCGCUAGUAAUCGCGGAUCAGCAACGCCGCGGUGAAUGCGUUCCCGGGCCUUGUACACACCGCCCGUCAAGUCA
rnacentral:rRNA from 2 species